UACAGAGGGUGCGAGCGUUAAUCGGAAUUACUGGGCGUAAAGCGCGCGUAGGCGGCUUUGCAAGUCGGGUGUGAAAUCCCCAAGCUUAACUUGGGAACUGCAUUCGAGACUGCAUUGCUAGAGUAUGGGGAGAGGGAAGUGGAAUUUCCGGUGUAGCGGUGAAAUGCGUAGAUAUCGGAAGGAACAUCAGUGGCGAAAGCGACUUCCUGGACCAAUACUGACGCUCAUGUGCGAAAGCGUGGGGAGCAAACAGG
rnacentral:rRNA from 1 species